GAGAGUGCUGAUGUCAUAAUUCUGGAUGAUAAUUUUUCUACUAUCGUGACAGUGGCCAAAUGGGGACGUUCAGUUUACAUGAAUAUUCAAAAGUUUGUGCAGUUCCAGCUGACAGUUAAUGUUGUUGCAUUAAUUGUUAACUUCUCUUCAGCUUGUUUGACAGGGAGCGCCCCCCUCACUGCUGUUCAGCUUUUGUGGGUAAAUAUGAUCAUGGAUACACUGGGAGCUCUUGCACUUGCAACAGAGCCUCCAAAAGAUGAACUAAUGAAGCGCUCACCAGUUGGAAGGAAAGGGAAUUUCAUCAGUAAUGUCAUGUGGAGAAAUAUCCUAGGCCAGUCUUUGUAUCAAUUUAUGGUAAUAUGGUAUCUUCAG
rnacentral:misc_RNA from 1 species